AUGCGGCAGUAUUGGUGGGGCGUUGAAAAAGGAAAGAGGAAGAUGGCUUGGUUAAGCUGGGAUAAGAUGAUGCUGCCAAAGGCUAGAGGUGGCAUUGGAUUUCGUGAUAUGAGAGCCUUUAACCAAGCUCUGCUGGCAAAGCAGGCCUGGAGAUUGAUUGAUUGUCCUGACAGUUGAUGUGCGAGGCUACUUCGGGCAAAGUACUACCCACAUGGAAAUAUUUUGGACACUGUAUUCUCAGGUAACGCUUCAGCGGUAUGGAGGGGAAUCGAGCAUGGUUUGGAU
rnacentral:rRNA from 1 species